CGGGUGAGUAAUAUAUCGGAACGUGCCCAGUCGUGGGGGAUAACGCAGCGAAAGCUGCGCUAAUACCGCAUGUGAUCUGUGGAUGAAAGCGGGGGACCGUAAGGCCUCGCGCGAUUGGAGCGGCCGAUAUCAGAUUAGGUAGUUGGUGGGAUAAAAGCCUACCAAGCCGACGAUCUGUAGCUGGUCUGAGAGGACGACCAGCCACACUGGGACUGAGACACGGCCCAGACUCCUACGGGAGGCAGCAGUGGGGAAUUUUGGACAAUGGGCGCAAGCCUGAUCCAGCAAUGCCGCGUGCAGGACGAAGGCCUUCGGGUUGUAAACUGCUUUUGUACGGAGCGAAACGGUCUGGGAUAAUACCCUGGGCUAAUGACGGUACCGUAAGAAUAAGCACCGGCUAACUACGUGCCAGCAGCCGCGGUAAUACGUAGGGUGCGAGCGUUAAUCGGAAUUACUGGGCGUAAAGCGUGCGCAGGCGGUUUUGUAAGACAGGCGUGAAAUCCCCGGGCUCAACCUGGGAAUGGCGCUUGUGACUGC
rnacentral:rRNA from 1 species